rnacentral:lncRNA from 1 species
AGUUCUAAUCUAAAUCGUGAAAAAUUAGACGAAUAUUUUUGUUGUUUGUCGAUAUUUACGUCUGGAAAGAAAUAUCCAUAAUAAAUGGUAGUCAAAAAGUAGAGUCAAAUAAAUGUAAAUUGAUCUCCCGUCUCCCACUUAAGUCAAGAUCACGGCUCAUUGCUAAUUACUAAGUGGCGAAGACUGUCUAGGAUGCAGGCAGAUUUCUCUCUCUCCAGAGCCUCUUCGAAGAAGCUGAGGGCUGAACGUGGGAUCUUUGAAGGAAGAGCAUGAAAUGAAGCUCGCUCCGCAGACCAAUUGCAUGCAACUGAGUCGACUCAUUUCUCCUUUUCGGUCUCUGCAUCCUCAGCACAGUUUCCUACGAAGUCGAGGCUCCCGCCCCUCCCCCGUUUCUCGCAACGAUCCAGGCUGAGUCGAAGACGAGGGAAAGGGGGCAAUGAAAUAUUUUGCCCAUUUGUUUUCCGUCGUCGAGGGAGAAGAUGGAAAGAGAAGGAAUGGAAAACGUCACGGUCUUUUGGGGAUAUGCAUCAUUGCAGGAAGAAAACAACCACCGGCACUAAUAACCCAAUAAGAAGAACACUGGGAAGGAACCUUUUGAGGCAAUUUCUA